AUAUUAUACAUGUGUUAUUUUGUUGUAUGUGCUACAAAUAGUUCAAUCAACCCAAGUCUUCCCAAUCCAGCGUUCACAUAAAAGAGGCGGUGUUCGCACAGCAUGACCUACAGAGCUGCAUAUUUUACAUAAGAGCAAACUAUAAUUCUACAUAAUUAUGAAGAACACAAACACAGGUUUGCAGGCAAAACGCAAUACAGUCGCUGCUUCCUAAAACAGGAAGGAAAGCUGGCAAAAAAA